GCCUCACUCAUAGCUCUUUUAUCACUUAAAGCCUUUUUUUUUCUUUUUUCUUCUUCUUUUUUUUUUUUUUUUCCAAUUGCCUACAAGAGGUGGGACACUUCAGGUGGUUUUUUUCUCCUCCCACUUGUCUCUCGGAGGGCCACGGGCACCUCAAACAUCCUGCGAGGUUGUCAUCCCAGAGCCGCCUGCCUGUCGGGGCCGGGAGCUCAGCCCAGCUUGAGGUCCUGCUGCGGGCUGCCCGCUGCCGCCCGGCUAUGGCUCCUCUGCCCCACUGGUGUCUUGCUGCAGGUCUUGCUGUAGCCUUCUGCUGUUGUGUCCCUGUUUUCCAAUGUGAACCUGAACCACGAGGCACCUCGGUGGCCUCACCUCACCUCAGGGCUGAAGAGAGGUGCAGCUCUAGCAAACAGAUUUGUAUCGUCCCCACUUUUGCAGAUGGGGAGGACGUAUGGAAAUUAAACUAAAAGGAUCUGCUGCUUUAAGGAUGCCAAGCACAGGCAGGAUGCCAGGUGCUGAUUUUUCAGAGCCCUUAGCACCAGCUGGCUCCUUAUUAGGGCUGCAUUCAGUGCCAGCUACAAAGGUGAGUGCUCAGCAUGCUGGCAAGUUGUUCCCCUUAAUUUCACACAUGCACAUGGUUGGAGAUAAUCUGGCAAGAAAGAAUUUCUCUGUUCCUUGACCAGCAGCGCAUAGAAGUGCUGUAGAGGCUGCAACCGCACCAUGGUUGAUGGCAGCAUGAGAGCAAAAAUGUGCUGGUGUGCGGGGGCACUGCAGUUCAAAUACAAUGAAGAGGGAAAGGACUACUGGCAGAGAAUCACAGUCAGGAAAAAAGGCAGCAGGUCUACUCUCCUUGCCCUUAGGACAGGACAAAACUCAUUGGGAGCGUACAGCUCACCUCCUCACUGGGAAACCCAUACUUGCUUCCUUUCUUGAUGCAGAGAUUUAAAAAAAAAAAAAAGCUGGCACGGAAGCAGAGCCAAGCAAGGGCUUGGCGUAGAAAGUGGCCUCAUACCACUGCCAGAAGGAGGGAAUGCUGGAAAGAAGAUCCCUGGCAAGGGUCUGCCUUCGCUUUGUGCCAUGUAAGCAGCCCAACGUGAGACUGAAGAUGAACAGACCUUGUCUCAUACUGUUUGGACAUCUCGGUAAUGUAGAAAGCCUCUGCUUGAAUUUUGUCUAUGCCGAUAAAUAUAUAAUAAAAUAUGCUAACUGGAUUUGCAAGUAUCAAGCCAUUUUGCAGAACUCAAAAAUAAACUUAAGUAUUAUUUAUACCCACUGUAUCUGCGCAAACAAAAUUCAAAUAUAUGUUCUCUUCUUCAGAGAUAUGGACAAAAAAUUUACUGCUUUUUGAUGACGAAUAAAGGUUAUUUGCCUCUGCAACUAUAAACUUUAAAGGAACGCAGUUUUUUCAGUAUGAUAUCACCUCAUUCUCAUCAUGCUGCUGCAGCAUAGAAAUU